AACCGCAUGGUUCAACAGUGAAAGACGGUCUUGCUGUCACUUAUAGAUGGAUCCGCGCCGCAUUAGCUAGUUGGUAAGGUAACGGCUUACCAAGGCAACGAUGCGUAGCCGACCUGAGAGGGUGAUCGGCCACACUGGAACUGAGACACGGUCCAGACUCCUACGGGAGGCAGCAGUAGGGAAUCUUCCGCAAUGGGCGAAAGCCUGACGGAGCAACGCCGCGUGAGUGAAGAAGGUCUUCGGAUCGUAAAACUCUGUUAUUAGGGAAGAACAAAUGUGUAAGUAACUAUGCACGUCUUGACGGUACCUAAUCAGAAAGCCACGGCUAACUACGUGCCAGCAGCCGCGGUAAUACGUAGGUGGCAAGCGUUAUCCGGAAUUAUUGGGCGUAAAGCGCGCGUAGGCGGUUUUUUAAGUCUGAUGUGAAAGCCCACGGCUCAACCGUGGAGGGUCAUUGGAAACUGGAAAACUUGAGUGCAGAAGAGGAAAGUGGAAUUCCAUGUGUAGCGGUGAAAUGCGCAGAGAUAUGGAGGAACACCAGUGGCGAAGGCGACUUUCUGGUCUGUAACUGACGCUGAUGUGCGAAAGCGUGGGGAUCAAACAGGAUUAGAUACCCUGGUAGUCCACGCCGUAAACGAUGAGUGCUAAGUGUUAGGGGGUUUCCGCCCCUUAGUGCUGCAGCUAACGCAUUAAGCACUCCGCCUGGGGAGUACGACCGCAAGGUUGAAACUCAAAGGAAUUGACGGGGACCCGCACAAGCGGUGGAGCAUGUGGUUUAAUUCGAAGC
rnacentral:rRNA from 1 species